rnacentral:rRNA from 1 species
UACGAAGGGGGCUAGCGUUGUUCGGAUUCAUUGGGCGUAAAGGGUGCGUAGGUGGCGAGGUUAGUCAGGUGUGAAAUCUCGGGGCUCAACCCCGAAACUGCACUUGAUACUGCCUUGCUAGAGUACUGGAGAGGAGAUUGGAAUUUACGGUGUAGCAGUGAAAUGCGUAGAUAUCGUAAGGAAGACCAGUGGCGAAGGCGAAUCUCUGGACAGUUACUGACACUGAGGCACGAAGGCCAGGGGAGCAAACGGG